AGACACAACGUUCUCUUGCGGCGUUUCCAGGAUGCCUGGAAGAUGCGCUACCUGGUGGGGGCGUGGCUGCUGUGGAAGGAUGCCUGCAGGACCGAGUGGGUGGUACAAGCUUUGGCAAGGCAGAGGCUGGCCCAGUGGGGCUGGAAGGCGUGGAGACGGCGUUACCUGCAGACUCGGGUGGCCGAGCGUUUCCUGGAGUCCCAAGACAGGAGUCUGCUCAAGAGGGCUUUUGAAACCUGGCGGCGCCUGGCA